rnacentral:rRNA from 1 species
GAUGAACGCUGGCGGCGUGCCUAAUACAUGCAAGUCGAGCGAACAGACGAGGAGCUUACUCCUCUGACGUUAGCGGCGGACGGGUGAGUAACACGUGGAUCACCUACCUAUAUGACUGGGAUAAUUUCGGGACACCGGAGCUUAUACCGGAUAACCUGCUGAACCGCAUGGUUCAACAGUGAGUGUCGGUCUUGCUGUCACUUCUAGAUGGAUCCGCGUCGCAUUAGCUAGUUGGUAAGGUAACGGCUUACCAAGGCAACGAUGCGUAGCCGACCUGAGAGGGUGAUCGGCCACACUGGAAGUGAGACACGGUCCAGACUCCUACGGGAGGCAGCAGUAGGGAAUCUGCCGCAAUGGGCGAAAGCCUGACGGAGCAACGCCGCGUGAGUGAAGAAGGUCUUCGGAUCGGAAAACUCUGUUAUGAGGGAAGAACAAAUGUGUAAGUAACUAUGCACGUCUUGACGGUACCUAAUCAGAAAGCCACGGCUAACUACGUG